GGUCGAUCCAGAUGAACGGUUCGCAUUAGUGCCGAGCAGCACCCGCAGAAGAUGAGGCAAAUGCAGCAGACACAGCAGAAAAUAAUUGAGGCAAAAUCUGUAUCAAAUCUGUAUCUGUUUGAAGUUAAAAUAGCAGAUCAUAAAGAUGGCAUGAUGUUGGGAUCGACGUUAACUGAUCACUCCACACACACUCCAUUGUGAACACACCGGACUUAGGAGAUGUCAUCUGACAUUUUGUUUCCAACCAAAGCCAACUCAUACAUAAUCUUGUUCAAAUAUUAGGCCCAAUAUAAGGAAGUCCAUGGACAUUUGUGACAUUUUACAUCACCUAAUAUUUCAAAUUUUGAUAAUAAUAAUGUGAAAAACUUAAUAUUAAAUGGAUAUGACAAUACUAUAAUACGGGAAAGGGUUUCCAUCUUCAUACGAAUCUGAAAGCAUUGCAAACCGACUUAUCGGUUAAUUGGUUAUCGAUUAAUGGCAUUGCGCAAUCGCGCAUU